rnacentral:rRNA from 1 species
AGAUUGAACGCUGGCGGCAUGCCUUACACAUGCAAGUCGAGCGGCAGCGCGGGGGCAACCCUGGCGGCGAGCGGCGGACGGGUGAGUAAUGCAUCGGAACGUGUCCUCUUGUGGGGGAUAACCAGUCGAAAGACUGGCUAAUACCGCAUGAGCUCGCAAGAGGAAAGCGGGGGAUCCGUAAGGACCUCGCGCGAGAGGAGCGGCCGAUGCCCGAUUAGCUAGUUGGUGGGGUAAUAGCCUACCAAGGCGACGAUCGGUAGCUGGUCUGAGAGGACGACCAGCCACACUGGGACUGAGACACGGCCCAGACUCCUACGGGAGGCAGCAGUGGGGAAUUUUGGACAAUGGGGGCAACCCUGAUCCAGCCAUGCCGCGUGUGUGAAGAAGGCCUCGGUUGUAAAGCACUUCGGCCGGAACGAAAUCGCGCGAGUGAAUAUCCCGCGUGGAUGACGGUACCGGAAGAAGAAGCACCGCUAACUACGUGCAGCAGCCG